AGAACAUUGGAAGAACGUCAUACUAUUGAAGAAUGCCUUCAAGCUAUCAAAUGUUUCACACGUCCGUCUAAUUUCACUGGAACAACAAACAUGUCUGGCCACAAGAAUAAGAAUGGAGACAGGACCAUUGCAGCAAAUUGCUGUCCCCAAACACCA